rfam:Moniliophthora roreri MCA 2997 sctg_0106_0004, whole genome shotgun sequence.
CUUCCUCGAUCAACUGAGGGCAAAUAAAGUGUACAUGGGCAUCAAUACCACCUGCGGUAACGAUCAUACCUCCAGCCGAGAUGACGUCCGUCGAAUUUCCUAUGGUAAGAUCGGGAUGAACGCUCCGUUGGGUAUCAGGGUUUCCAGCUUUGCCAAUAGCAUGGAUAAGACCAUUCUUGAUACCAAUAUCGGCUUUGUAGAUUCCUGACCAAUCGACGAUGAGUGCAUUGACAAUGACGACAUCCAAGGCUUCAGAAGAGGAACGGUUGGUAGCUUGACCCAUGCCUUCGCGGAU